ensembl:snRNA U6 U6 spliceosomal RNA
AUGUUCUUUUAGCAGCACAUACACUAAGGGUGGACUGAUACAGAGAAGACUAGCCUAGCCCCUGCACAAGUAUGCAUGCAGACUUGUGAAGUGUAUAAUUUGGCA